AGUGGUACAUCGACAUAAUCCCAAUAAGAAUAUGAAGGGAGAAGCUGAAUGGAUGUUGCUCCUCUGCAUUAUACCAAUGUCGGAGAUUACAAUCACAGGUAUGAAACUUAACUGGUACGAAGCACAAAGUCGAUGCAGGGAAACAGGAAGCCGUUUGUUGUAUAAAUAUCAAGCAACGAACUUCUACUGGACACCCUAUUAUAAAAGACUGUCUUCGUGGAUAGGGACGUUAGGUCUGAUUUAGAUCUUUAUUGAUCAUCAAAAAAAAAAAAAAAAAGAAA